rnacentral:rRNA from 1 species
UACAGAGGUCUCAAGCGUUGUUCGGAUUCAUUGGGCGUAAAGGGCGCGUAGGCGGCGGGGUCAGUCGGGUGUGAAAUCUUGGGGCUUAACCCCGAAACGGCACUCGAAACUGCCCGGCUGGAGGGCCGGAGAGGAGAUCGGAAUUCACGGUGUAGCAGUGAAAUGCGUAAAGAUCGUGAGGAAGACCCGUGGCGAAGGCGGAUCUCUGGACGGCUAACUGACGCUGAGGCGCGAAGGCCAGGGGAGCAAACGGG